rnacentral:rRNA from 1 species
GCCCUUGCGGAUCGCGGCCGCUGCAGAGUUUGAUCCUGGCUCAGAACGAACGUUGGCGGCGUGGAUAAGACAUGCAAGUCGAGCGAGGACUGGGGGGCAACUCCCAGAGCCGAGCGGCGUAAGGGGCAGUAAUGCGUGGGUAACGUACCCCCGGGUUCCGGAUAGCCAGCCGAAAGGCUGGGUAAUACGGAGCGACGUANCCUGGAGGCAUCUUCGGGCUACCAAAGAUUUAUCGCCCGGGGAGCGGCUCACGUGGUAUUAGCUAGUUGGUAGGGUAAUGGCCUACCAAGGCGAAGAUGCCUAGCUGGUGUGAGAGCACGACCAGCGCCACUGGGACUGANACACUGCCCAGACACCUACGGGUGGCUGCAGUCGUGAAUCUUCGGCAAUGGGCGCAAGCCUGACCGAGCGACGCCGCGUGCGGGAAGAAGGCCUUCGGGUUGUAAACCGCUGUCNAGGGGGAGAAAGGCGCAAGCUUGAUCUAUCCCUGGAGGAAGCACGGGCUAAGUUCGUGCCAGCAGCCGCGGUAAGACGAACCGUGCGAACGUUGUUCGGAAUCACUGGGCUUAAAGGGCGCGUANGCGGUAGGCCAAGUCCGUGGUGAAAUCCUUCGGCUCAACCGGAGAAUGGCCUCGGAUACUGGUCUUCUAGAGGGAGGUAGGGGCAGCGGGAACUGCCAGUGUAGCGGUGAAAUGCGUUGAUAUUGGCANGAACGCCGGUGGCGAAAGCGCGCUGCUGGACCUCUUCUGACGCUGAGGCGCGAAAGCUAGGGGAGCAAACNGGAUUAGAUACCCCGGUAGUCCUAGCCCUAAACGAUGAGGACUAGGCUGUGGACUANACAUGGGUUCUCAGCCGAAGCAAAANUGCUAAGUCCUCCCCCUGGGGAGUAUGGUC